CCUGCCACCACUUUCUUAUCCUCAAACCAGAGACUGAGGUUCUUCUGAGAUUUGCACAAGUGACUUAGCCAAAGGCACACAGGAACUUCCAGAUGAAAGGCAUCUGCAGUGAAUGCAUUUUGUAAAGUGUUGCUUUUCUGGCUUGACAGUCAACCAGGUGGAGGGGAUCCCCAUGGAGUCUGAGCAGCGGAUCAGUGACCUCAGUCAUUCUAGGAAAUGUGCAGCAUCAAUGGAAACCGGUGUGUGACAGCUCUAAGGAAAUCAGGCUUUCUUGUUUACAAUAUACAAAAACUUGCUCAGGCAACAGGCGGGUUUGUUCAAGACCACAGGAACUGUCCGGGCUUUAGAACCAGCUGCCUUUGCUGAGCCUUUGUCAUAGGGGCGGGGCUCAGGGUGUUUCUUUCUUCGCAUGGCCCUUUCAUCAGUCCGUCUCAGCAGCCCACAGACUGCAUGCUCAUUCUCGCUGUGAGUUUAAUAAAGGGACUAUCUGCAAAAGUGGGGGUAGAGUUGAAGGAACAGGCAAGGCUCGCUUACCUGUUCUCCAGGCCCUUGUGUGUAAGGGAGCAGGGAAGGUGGUUAGGGGAGAGCAGAGACUUGAAGUUCUUUUCACACCGGGAGGGGGCGCUGCCUUCUGGGCUCUGACUUCGCCGGUUUCAGCUCCGAACUACCAGAGCCCGGUAAUAAGUGCCUGAAUAUGCAAGAGCCCUGGUGUCAGGCGCCUCGAAUUUGACUCCCGACGCUGCGUGACCUCACUCUGAGCCUGGGAACUUAUUUGUGAAUGGAAGUAAUAACAAAGCCUGCCGGGUAGGGUUGCUGUAUAGAUUAAUUGAGAUAAGAAUAGCUACUUACUGUGUGCAAAGAGAAGCUAAAAGCAAAGGAGAAAAGGAAAGAUAUUCCCAUUUGAAUGCAGAGC